CCUACGGGUGGCAGCAGUGAGGAAUAUUGGUCAAUGGGCGCGAGCCUGAACCAGCCAAGUAGCGUGAAGGAUGACUGCCCUAUGGGUUGUAAACUUCUUUUAUAAAGGAAUAAAGUAGGGCACGCGUGCCUUUUUGUAUGUACUAUAUGAAUAAGGAUCGGCUAACUCCGUGCCAGCAGCCGCGGUAAUACGGAGGAUCCGAGCGUUAUCCGGAUUUAUUGGGUUUAAAGGGAGCGUAGGUGGGUUGUUAAGUCAGUUGUGAAAGUUUGCGGCUCAACCGUAAAAUUGCAGUUGAUACUGGCAGUCUUGAGUACAGUAGAGGUAGGCGGAAUGCGUGGUGUAGCGGUGAAAUGCUUAGAUAUCACGAAGAACUCCGAUUGCGAAGGCAGCUUACCGAAGCGCCACUGACGUUGAUGCUCGAAAGUGUGGGUAUCGAACAGGAUUAGAUACCCUUGUAGUC
rnacentral:rRNA from 1 species